ACUUUGCUUUGCACACGUGGCUACAUAGCUAUUGACGAUAUCAAAAUCCGGAGAAUAUGUCGCAAUUUCCUGGAAUGCUGAAAUGCGCUCUCUUUAUAGCAGUGUCUCUACUGAUGUCUACCAACGUAGUGGAAGCCCUUGCGGCGCUAAACUAUGGCUCCCAAAAGGCUCAAGAAUACUGGAAUGGCCGUUCCGAUGUUGAAACGAACCUCGAGUCUUGAAGACAAAUGUGC